ensembl:miRNA MIR634 microRNA 634
AAACCCACACCACUGCAUUUUGGCCAUCGAGGGUUGGGGCUUGGUGUCAUGCCCCAAGAUAACCAGCACCCCAACUUUGGACAGCAUGGAUUAGUCU